UACGUAGGGGGCUAGCGUUGUCCGGAAUCAUUGGGCGUAAAGCGCGUGUAGGCGGUCCGGUAAGUCCGCUGUGAAAGUCGGGGGCUCAACCCUCGAAUGCCGGUGGAUACUGUCGGGCUAGAGUCCGGAAGAGGCGAGUGGAAUUCCUGGUGUAGCGGUGGAAUGCGCAGAUAUCAGGAGGAACACCGGUGGCGAAGGCGGCCUUCUGGACAGUGACUGACGCUGAGACGCGAAAGCGUGGGGAGCAAACAGG
rnacentral:rRNA from 1 species